rnacentral:lncRNA from 1 species
GCUGCGGCUGAGAAUUAAACCAAAAAAGAAUUUUUGAGUACCAUCCGAUGAUCCAGUAUCAAUCACAGGCAUGAUCCAACGAAUGCCAUUGAUCCCGACUUUGAAUAGAAGAUCAGAUGCGUGAUCUAAUGGUCCAAUCAAAUCUGACGAAUGAUCGGAUGGCUAAUAUCCUUUUCGAUUGUAACAAGGCUUGAUGAAGAGAUUUUUUGAUGAAAUCUGG